rnacentral:lncRNA from 1 species
UGGGCACCGGUGUCUGGAUGAGGGGAACGUGGUGGCACCCAAAACUCAGAGACACCAGGAACCGCAGAGCCCCAAGGGUGUCACAGCUCAACCGUUCCCACCACCUGUGACUUGGCGAGCAGGGCGUGCUACAGCCCUGGUUCAGGGAGUCUGACGUCUGGGCUCUCGGGAAGCGCCACAGCUCUAGUUCAUUCCUGCUGCCCGCAACUUCAGCAAACGGGUCCCAAGUUCUUGUCCCACAUCCAGAAGAAUAAGGUUAUGCAGACAACCGGAGAGUGAGCAGGGCAGAAAAAACUUACUGCAGGACGGAACAGCUCCCAGUGUUGAGGGGCCCUGAGAGUGGGCAGCCACUACCUGAAGGCGAGUAGUCUCUACCCAAAGGUGGUAGUCCCUGCCGUGUGGCUGAGUCCAGGGUUUUUAUGGGCUCAGAAAGGGGGAGUGUGUGCUGAUUGGCCCAUGGGCGGGCCUAGAAAAAAAUCACCAUUUGAUUGGCUAAAAGGUCGUGGACUUAACCUGGAACUGGCAGCCUGGUUUUCCAGCUUCAGGCUGUCUUUGGCUUGAAGGUCGGGUUUCACUGGGGACCUGCCCCAGUCUGCCUAGGAAUCUGUCUUCUGCUACUAUCAGAGGGACCACGCUUCGCUUAUCCAGUCGUCAUUCACGGACCCUGCAUUGUCUCUGCCUCUUGGGCUUUGUGAAGAACACUACUGUGAACAGGGGAGUCCCCCUGCCUGUUUGGGUCCCUGCUUUCCAUUUCUUUGGGAGGUAUGUGGAGAGGAGAUUGCGGGGUCAUGUGGUCAUUCUAUUUGGCCCUCGGAGGAGCAGGCAUCCUGUUUUCCACAGCAGCUCUGCCAUCAAAUGGCACUUUCUUAGUGACACCCCCCGUAUCUCUCACCAUAAAUGUCUCUCCCCGUAAACAUUGCAACUCCUGGCUCACUUUCCUUCUCCUGUAACUUGUCACUGUGGAACUCUCAGGUGUGCCUGAGCCGACUCGCAGCAGCCCAGGAGGGCCAGCAGUGAGGCCCCUUCCCCGCUCCGUGGUCAGUGCCUUCACACAGGGAGUUUGGAGGUGGCUGUAGUG